AGGGUUUGAUCAUGGCUCAGGACGAACGCUGGCGGCGUGCUUAACACAUGCAAGUCGAACGAGAAUCUAGCAAGUUGAUCAAUUCGUUGUGAAACAUGCUGGAGGAAAGUGGCGGAUGGGUGAGUAACGCGUGAGCAACCUGCCUCGCACAAGGGAAUAGCCUCGGGAAACCGUGAUUAAUGCCCUAUGAUAUGCAGAAAUCGCAUGAUUUUUGCAUCAAAGCGUUAGCGGUGUGAGAUGGGCUCGCGUCUGAUUAGCUAGUUGGUGAGGUAACGGCCCACCAAGGCGACGAUCAGUAGCCGGCUUGAGAGAGUGAACGGCCACACUGGAACUGAGACACGGUCCAGACUCCUACGGGAGGCAGCAGUGGGGAAUAUUGCACAAUGGAGGGAACUCUGAUGCAGCGACGCCGCGUGAGCGAAGAAGGUCUUCGGAUUGUAAAGCUCUGUCCUAAAGGAAGAUAAUGACAGUACUUUAGGAGGAAGCCCCGGCUAACUACGUGCCAGCAGCAGCCGCGGUAAUUC
rnacentral:rRNA from 1 species